CGAACGCUGGCGGCGUGCUUUAUACAUGCAAGUCGAACGAUGAAAUUCCUUCGGGAAUGGAUUAGUGGCGAACGGGUGAGGAACACGUGAGAAACCUGCCUUUCAUUCUGGGAUAACACCGGGAAACCGGUGCUAAUACCGGAUACUCCGUCUUGGCGGCAUCGCCGAGCCGGGAAAAAUUUUGAUGAAAGAUGGUCUCGCGGCCUAUCAGCUAGUUGGUGAGGUAAUGGCUCACCAAGGCGACGACGGGUAGCCGGCCUGAGAGGGCGACCGGCCACACUGGGACUGAGACACGGCCCAGACUCCUACGGGAGGCAGCAGUAGGGAAUAUUGGGCAAUGGGCGCAAGCCUGACCCAGCGACGCCGCGUGAGGGAUGAAGGUCUUCGGAUUGUAAACCUCUUUCAGUAGGGAAGAAGCGAAAGUGACGGUACCUAAAGAAGAAGCACCGGCUAACUAUGCGCCAGCA
rnacentral:rRNA from 1 species